GCAGUUGAGCGCUGAAGGUUGGUACUUGUACCAACUGGAUGAGCAGCGAACGGGUGAGUAACGCGUGGGGAAUCUGCCUUUGAGCGGGGGACAACAUUUGGAAACGAAUGCUAAUACCGCAUAAAAACUUUAAACACAAGUUUUAAGUUUGAAAGAUGCAAUUGCAUCACUCAAAGAUGAUCCCGCGUUGUAUUAGCUAGUUGGUGAGGUAAAGGCUCACCAAGGCGAUGAUACAUAGCCGACCUGAGAGGGUGAUCGGCCACAUUGGGACUGAGACACGGCCCAAACUCCUACGGGAGGCAGCAGUAGGGAAUCUUCGGCAAUGGACGAAAGUCUGACCGAGCAACGCCGCGUGAGUGAAGAAGGUUUUCGGAUCGUAAAACUCUGUUGGUAGAGAAGAACGUUGGUGAGAGUGGAAAGCUCAUCAAGUGACGGUAACUACCCAGAAAGGGACGGCUAACUACGUGCCAGCAGCCGCGGUAAUACGUAGGUCCCGAGCGUUGUCCGGAUUUAUUGGGCGUAAAGCGAGCGCAGGUGGUUUAUUAAGUCUGGUGUAAAAGGCAGUGGCUCAACCAUUGUAUGCAUUGGAAACUGGUAGACUUGAGUGCAGGAGAGGAGAGUGGAAUUCCAUGUGUAGCGGUGAAAUGCGUAGAUAUAUGGAGGAACACCGGUGGCGAAAGCGGCUCUCUGGCCUGUAACUGACACUGAGGCUCGAAAGCGUGGGGGAGCAAACAGGAUUAGAUACCCUGGUAGUCCACGCCGUAAACGAUGAGUGCUAGAUGUAGGGAGCUAUAAGUUCUCUGUAUCGCAGCUAACGCAAUAAGCACUCCGCCUGGGGGAGUACGACCGCAAGGUUGAAACUCAAAGGAAUUGACGGGGGGCCCGCACAA
rnacentral:rRNA from 1 species